ACUCCUACUGGAGGCAGCAGUGGGGAAUUUUCCGCAAUGGGCGAAAGCCUGACGGAGCAACGCCGCGUGAGGGAUGAAGGCCUCUGGGCUGUAAACCUCUUUUAUCAAGGAAGAAGAUCUGACGGUACUUGAUGAAUAAGCCACGGCUAAUUCCGUGCCAGCAGCCGCGGUAAUAC
rnacentral:rRNA from 1 species